ensembl:lncRNA
AUUCCAACUCGUCUUUGGAGAAAAGGUUCAGGGGCCGGCAUGGAGGGGUUCCACUACGAUUUUCAACCGCAGCAAUUAUGUUUAAAUUUCGAUCAGCAGUUGGAGGGACUGGAAAAAGCAGCCUCGAGUGAAGAUGUCUGCGGCUUUUUCAGUCACUUUGAGCCGGUGAAUAUGUUUCCAGGAUUGAUUGAUACCAUCACUCAGGGCAAAAGGAAAAAAUACAAACUUUGGUAGCGUGAGAACAGCAUUCCUGGAGCUGAAUAAAUCAAACGGAGACAUGCAGAUGACAGAUAGACCUUGUCCAGCAGGCAGAAGUUGAAUCAGAGGCAUUAAAAUGCACAAAACUGCUCUGACUCUGUCUUGUGUGGAGCGCUGUCUCCUGAGACAAGAGAGAAGCGGCCCUUGGAGAGUGAUUUCCCAUACACACCAGUGGUGUGUGUCCAUGUGGACCACACAGACAGCUAAAAAGCUUGGUUGAUUCAGGGGCCCCUUGCUAAUACGGAAUUUUAAGAGAAGCAUCUGAGAUCGAUACUUAAAUGAAACAUAACUGGGAACUCCAUUACAUCUCCUGAGCAAUGAAAGAGCAGCCUUUGAGUAAUAAAAUGUUCCUCUGGGAAGGUCCAAGAUGGAAAAUGAGAAGUAUGGUUGUAGAUGGCAUGCAGAUUAAGACAGAAAAAGAAUAAAAAAUGCUAAUGUUGACCUCAAUCCUCAAGAUUACUGCCGAUGCCAGAAUGUGCUAUAUCACUUCAAAGACUUGUGCAGAAGUGCUUUCUCCAACAAUUAUAACUCUCACUCAAUGUCUAUCUUUUGGUAUCAUCAUUGUUAUUCAAUCGCAGUCUUGGAAUGCUUGUGGAUGAACGAUUUUACUACUGAUCAACGUCUGCCAGAAGCAUCUGGGCCAGCAUAGCAAAGC